rnacentral:rRNA from 1 species
UACGUAGGGGGCAAGCGUUGUCCGGAUUUAUUGGGCGUAAAGAGCGUGUAGGCGGCUAGGUAGGUCCGUUGUGAAAACUCGAGGCUCAACCUCGAGACGUCGAUGGAAACCAUCUAGCUAGAGUCCGGAAGAGGAGAGUGGAAUUCCUGGUGUGGCGGUGAAAUGCGCAGAUAUCAGGAAGAACACCAAUGGAGAAGGCAGCUCUCUGGGACGGUACUGACGCUGAGACGCGAAAGCGUGGGGAGCGAACAGG